rnacentral:rRNA from 1 species
UGGAGGGCAAGUCUGGUGCCAGCAGCCGCGGUAAUUCCAGCUCCAAUAGCGUAUAUUAACGUUGUUGCAGUUAAAAAGCUCGUAGUUGAAAUGAAGGGUAGUUGUGUAAUGAAUACAUUCGUGUAUUUUGUUAUUCUACUACCCUCCUUCUAAAUUCGAUAUAUGAGUAUUAAUUUACUUGUAUAUGGUUUUAGACGUUUACUGUGAGAAAAUUAGAGUGUUCAAAGCAGGCAUUUGCUUGAAUAUAUUAGCAUGGAAUAAUCAUGUAUGAUUUUCAUGAUGUAUUUGAUUGGUUUGGUUCAUGAGAAUAAGAUUAAAAGGGACAGUUGGGGGUAUUCAUAUUCAAUAGUCAGAGGUGAAAUUCUCGGAUUUAUGGAAGAUGAACAAGUG